GAUGAACGCUGGCGGCGUGCCUAAUACAUGCAAGUCGAGCGAACGGACGAGAAGCUUGCUUCUCUGAUGUUAGCGGCGGACGGGUGAGUAACACGUGGAUAACCUACCUAUAAGACUGGGAUAACUUCGGGAAACCGGAGCUAAUACCGGAUGAUAUUUUGAACCGCAUGGUUCAAAAGUGAAAGACGGUCUUGCUGUCACUUAUAGAUGGAUCCGCGCUGCAUUAGCUAGUUGGUAAGGUAACGGCUUACCAAGGCAACGAUGCAUAGCCGACCUGAGAUGGUGAUAGGCCACACUGGAACUGAGACACGGUCCAGACUCCUACGGGAGGCAGCAGUAGGGAAUCUUCCGCAAUGGGCGAAAGCCUGACGGAGCCACGCGGCGUGAGUGAUGAAGGUCUUCGGCUCGUAAAACUCUGUUAUUAGGGAAGAACAUAUGUGUAAGUACCUGUGCACAUCUUGACGGUACCUAAUCAGAAAGCCACGGCUAACUACGUG
rnacentral:rRNA from 1 species